CUUGCCUGGGAGAAGGAGGUGGCCUGGAGAGCUGCUGUCUCCAGCCACUGCCUGUCUCCACAG
ensembl:miRNA